AUACUUACCUGGACGGGGUUCAUGGGCGAUCAAGAAGGCUCAUAGUCUGGGCCCGCGACCUCCAUUGCACGUGGGAGGGCUGCUGGUCUACCAUCUCCCCAAGCGGGAGAGUGGACGUCGAAAUUCGUGGCAGCGGGGGUACGCGUUCGCGCGGCCCCCAC
rnacentral:snRNA from 1 species